GACGAACCGUGCGAACGUUAUUCGGAAUCACCGGGCUUAAAGCGCGUGUAGGCGGGACGGCACGUCUGUCGCUGAAAUCCCCCGGCUUAACCGGGGAACUGGCGUAGAUACGACCGUCCUUGAGGGGCGUAGGGGGACCUGGAACUUCCGGUGGAGCGGUGAAAUGCGUUGAGAUCGGAAGGAACGCCCGUGGCGAAAGCGAGGUCCUGGACGCCUACUGACGCUGAGACGCGAAAGCCAGGGGAGCGAACGGG
rnacentral:rRNA from 1 species